UGUGCGGUAAGUUCGGCCUCAAGUCGCACAUUGAUGACACGAUGGUGCCCUGUCCCUAGGACCCCGACUAGGAUCAAGCAGAUUGCUACAUCCGCUCCUGGUUCUUCAACUCUGUCGAUGUCUCCAUCCUCGAUCUCGCCAUGACGAUGAUGAUCAGACUGCCCAGGAUCUUUGGCUCGCCAUAGAGGGCCUCUUCCUCGCCAACAAGCAGUCCCGGGCGAUCUUCCUCAGCCAUGACUUCC
rnacentral:lncRNA from 1 species